CAGUCGCCGCGGGAAUACGUAGGGUGCGAGCGUUAAUCGGAAUUACUGGGCGUAAAGCGUGCGCAGGCGGUUAUAUAAGACAGAUGUGAAAUCCCCGGGCUCAACCUGGGACCUGCAUUGUGACUGUAUAGCUAGAGUACGGUAGAGGGGGAUGGAAUUCCGCGUGUAGCAGUGAAAUGCGUAGAUAUGUGGAGGAAUACCGAUGGCGAAGGCAGCCCCCUGGGAUAACACUGACGCUCAUGCACGAAAGCGUGGGGAGCAAACAGGAUUAGAUACCCGCGUAGUCCCUGUCUCUUAUACA
rnacentral:rRNA from 1 species